CGAACGCUGGCGGCAGGCCUAAUACAUGCAAGUCGAACGGCUCUUCGGAGCAGUGGCGGACGGGUGAGUAACGCGUGGGAAUGUGCCCUUAGGUACGGAACAACACAGGGAAACUCGUGCUAAUACCGUAUGUGCCCUUCGGGGGAAAGAUUUAUCGCCUUUGGAGCAGCCCGCGUUGGAUUAGGUAGUUGGUGAGGUAAAGGCUCACCAAGCCGACGAUCCAUAGCUGGUCUGAGAGGAUGACCAGCCACACUGGGACUGAGACACGGCCCAGACUCCUACGGGAGGCAGCAGUAGGGAAUCUUGCGCAAUGGGCGAAAGCCUGACGCAGCCAUGCCGCGUGUAUGAUGAAGGUCUUAGGAUUGUAAUAUACUUUCACCGGGGAAGAUAAUGACGGUACCCGGAGAAGAAGCCCCGGCUAACUUCGUGCCAGCCGCCGCUGUAA
rnacentral:rRNA from 1 species